rnacentral:rRNA from 1 species
UACGUAGGGGGCAAGCGUUAUCCGGAUUCAUUGGGCGUAAAGCGCGCGCAGGCGGUUUGCCAAGCGAGUGUGUCGAAGCCGUGGGCUCAACCCGCGGAAGCACCUCGAACUGGCAGACUCGAGUGAGGUAGAGGAAGAUGGAAUUCCCGGUGUAGCGGUGGAAUGCGCAGAUAUCGGGAAGAACACCGACGGCGAAGGCAGUCUUCUGGGCCUUUACUGACGCUGAGGCGCGAAAGCUGGGGGAGCGAAC